rnacentral:hammerhead_ribozyme from 1 species
CAAUGCUGAUGAGACCGAACCAGGUCGAAACAGCUGUCCAGUGC